UGUGCUUGCACAGAUGACGACCGGCGCACGGGUGCGUAACGCGUAUAGAACCUACCUUUUACAGAGGAAUAGCCUUUAGAAAUGAAGAUUAAUGCCUCAUAGUAUUGUAGACUGGCAUCAGUUUAUAAUCAAAGAUUUAUCGGUAAAAGAUGGCUAUGCGUCCUGUUAGUUAGUUGGUAAGGUAACGGCUUACCAAGACAGCGAUAGGUAGGGGUCCUGAGAGGGAGAUCCCCCACACUGGUACUGAGACACGGACCAGACUCCUACGGGAGGCAGCAGUGAGGAAUAUUGGACAAUGGAGGAGACUCUGAUCCAGCCAUGCCGCGUGUAGGAAGAAUGCCCUAUGGGUUGUAAACUACUUUUAUACAGGAAGAAACACUGGUAUGUAUACCAGCUUGACGGUACUGUAAGAAUAAGGACCGGCUAACUCCGUGCCAGCAGCCGCGGUAAUACGGAGGGUCCGAGCGUUAUCCGGAAUCAUUGGGUUUAAAGGGUCCGCA
rnacentral:rRNA from 1 species